UUUCCACAUACCACCGCUCAUUAUAUUGUAGAGAGAUGGUUAGAGAGAGAAACAUAUAGAGGGAAAGAGAGCGUGACACGAUGGUACGGUUCCGGCAACUACAACCAGACCACAGAUCGUCGGCCACCAGAUAUUUCGCAUUCGAAGCUUGCGAUUCACUGUACAGGAAGAGUGUGAAUUUGUGAAAAUUGAUAUUCAUCAUCGUGUUCAAGGAGAUGUGGUUCUUGAAUGUGUACAUGUGGAUCAUGUUAGGGAUCGAGGAAAUUAUAUUUAGAGUAAUGUUUCACACAGCAUUUGUGCGAAGUGGCAUACUCAAUUUGAGUUGUGAUGAAGUUGAUGUUAUAUGGGAUGCAAGAGACCAGAUGCAAAAGAACUUUAAAGCAAAGGUAUGUUUUUUGGAUCCUGAUGCUCUACCAUCUAUAAUCAC